UCACAGGUUACACCUCUCCUAAGAGAAAGAAAAUUGUGAGACAGUGAGCUGUGGAGGCCAGAAAGCCUGGUAGUAAGGCCCUAGAAGCCCCGCACCACCCUAGUCUCUGAGACUAGCCUCUGACGCGCUAGCUGCGCGGAUGCCCACGCCAACUCGAGUCCUGCAUCCCCCGCUGCUGUGCACCACUAGCGGGACAGGGGGAAGGGAAGCCUUUCUCUCUGCGGUCCGCUCUGUCCAGCGCUACUGAACAACUUGCCCUGGGACUGCUGCCGCCCACCGCUCUCCCGAGAUGUCUCUGCCUGCUCUGGCUGAGCUUUUCUUCGAGCCGCUGCCACCCUGCGACCGGAAAUGGAAGAAGCAAUUAAGGCUGUCACACAGCCACAGUAUGGAAGUGUGUGACGAGGGAAAGCAGAAGGAAGUGGCAAUGUUCCGGGGAUUAAACAUGGAGCCUCACACAAUGAUCAGCAAGUGGUCGACAACAGCUACAUCUGAGCACCCCCACCUCCUUUCUAGAACUUUGAGAUAAAGUCUAAGUUGAUCAAGUAGACCUUUGAAUAUAUGAGCCCCUGCCUCAGUCUCCAGAGCAGCAGCUGUAGUUACAGCACAACACCAGGCCCAGGUGACAUUUGGGUAGACUGUCCCAUGAUGUCACUUAUACAUCGUCUGAGUUCCCACCGAGAAUGGAUUCAUCCUCCCACUGUGGCUCCAGUUUUAGACUGUGCUUCUAAGUCUUUGCUCUGUGCCACUCACAGUUGCAUCCUCGAUAUCGUGUCUUUUGAGUUCCUUCCUUCUUUACCAUUCUAGUGCUUUUUGCUCUAAGUUGAACUUACCUGUUUUCUGCACUUCUGCUGUAUUAUAUUAGGGCUCACAUAAAAAGUGGUCAGUUUUACAAUGCUGAGAAUCAAACCUAGAAGUCUUGUAUGCCAGGUAAGUGAUGCCCACUGAGCCACAACCAUCCAGGAUCUCUAAAGCUCCUUCUACCAUUUCCUCUCAUUCAUGACUUUUAUCGUAUGAACACAUUUUCUCGAUUUCUUCCUUUCCUCUCUUCUGAUGCUAAAUUUCUGAAUUUGCCUUUAUAUGAUUCUUACAUUUACUUUUCAACCUUUAACAUUACAAUCUUACCUGAGAAAUUGCAAGAUUCAACCUUUAAUGUUACUAUCUUACCUGAAAAACUGCAAGAUCUAGAGAUUUCCAGAGAUCUGCUUACAAGCCGCCCUCAGCUUGCGAGCUGACCACACUCCCCAUAUUGAACUGUACCAUUUGAAUGUUAUUCCAACACUACUGAUGCAAAAUGAACACACAUACAAUCAGUGGCUUGCACAAUGCACAGAACACAGUGGCUUGCACAAUGCCUACAGAAUACAGGCAGCCUGGGGAGCUGGGCCUGAACAUCUUCAAUAGAGUUGGCCAACUGAUGGCAGCCUUUGUUUGGCAGUUGGUAGCUUCUGGCUGUGCCCACUGGCUUCAACCUUGUCCACUUACACACCAGCCUGAGAAAACUGCCAUGGCAGAGUAACAAGUGGAAACAACUUCCUCAAGCUUCAGUAGGCAUCUGCUAACAUCCCAUUGGCCACAGCAAGUCACAUGUCCAAAUGGGGUCUUAAAAUGCCAAAAAGUCAGGUUUAUUCCUUCAGUGAAGAGGACUGUAAGGGGCUCAGUACUAGGGCUGGGGACUCAAGAGGGGUGAAAACUUGAAGCCAUUACGGUGAACAGCCUAUUGCAUUUAACUUUAUCAUCUGUUCAAACCUCAAAGUUUCCUAUCAAAAAAUUGUACUCUACCAACUUCAUAUAAUUUCUAGUUUAAAAACUCUAUACCUUCUCUCUGGAUAAUUGUCAAUUUAAGUGAACCUACCAUGUAUGGAUGAGGAAUCCUCUUGGUGGUUGUUGAGCCUAAGCUGUCUCUGCCCUUCGUCACGCAGAAUCCUAACCCUGAGCUGAUGAGCUUUCUUACCUCUUUUGUUUGCAGACAAUUCUUGUCCAAGUUUUAUUUAGCAGGCUAACAUACCAUUUCUUUCGAGCAGUUGUAAAGAUUUCCCCUCAGACAUCAAUGUAAUACCUGGAUGUGAAAAGAUCAUUUUAUCCAACCUGACUGAACUACAUGGCACUGACGACAGAUUUUUGGUCUCAUCUGUAGGAAACUGUCAGCUUUUCUUCAUGUCUUUUGUUUUGUUUUGGUUUGGUUUUUGUAUUGACACACUGCUUUCCGCUUUCCUAUCUAAACUGCUGCUUUGUGUUUUUAACAGAAUGUUUCCUGGUACUCCAGAAUAGGACAUUCUCUCAUACUAUCAUCUAACACCCAAAUUUUCUCUCCAUCUCCAACCUAUCAUUUACACCAAUUGAGCAUUUUUGCAAUACCUGUAUUUUUUACUUACAAGAUUCCCACAUACCUUACCUGUUCUCUGACCUGUUCUCUGCCCCACCCUGCCCUGCCCCCAUCCAUGUGAGGACCAUGUGGCCUGUGCUUGAACAGCCUCCUGUGUACCCUCCUCUGACAGACUUUGAGCAUGACUCAUUUGUGCACACUCCAGCACAGCCAAGCUCCAUCCUAGGUCUCCACCUUCUCCUUCACUAUGUUCUGCUUCCUCAAUGUCGGCCAGGUAGUCGACCACUAACUUCUCUUAAAAAAAUCUGGACAGCCACUCAGUAGCCCCGGCCUCAGUCUCGAUCCAUCCAUAGGGGACAAUUCCCCAAGCACCACCUCCAGCUUCAUAGCCUGUGCUUUACAUUUUCUCGCUGCUCACAUCCCGCUUCCUUUUGGUCCACACAGAUGCUCAGUUUUAUCUGAGGCUGGUCAGACCUAGCUCUCUUAGUUUCCUGUUAGCAGCAGCAGGAAACAGCAGCAGUCACACCACUGUAUUAGAAAGUAGGUACCAGUAAAAGGAAGUACUCUCAAUCAACCUUCCUUCACCACAUGAAAUAUUCACAUAUACAUAUCCCUAAAUGAGCCAAGACACGACUACAGGCAUCUUGUUCUGUAUCUAGAAAGCAUUAAGCCUAAAGGUGAAAACCACAUGUUUUGGUGACACUGGUAAUUGAACAUAAGCUGGAAUAGUCUCACAACAGACUUCCGUCAAAGCCAUUUAAUCACCAGUACAUUUAGGUAGAGUUUACUUCAUCGAACCCCAAGUGCUAAGUGCUUGAGAUCUGCUGCCUGAAUUUGAAUGCUUUUUACGAAAACCUGGCUAUAUCUUAUUAAAACUCCAAACGCUUCUUAA